AGAAAGCGUAAUAGCUCACUGGUCUAUGUUUAUUAGCGCCUAAAAUGUAUCGGAGCUCAAGAUAUUCACCGAAGCGGCGAUUUUACAUGAUAUAAAUCAAAUCUAUCAUGUAAAAGGUAGCAGAACGUUCUGUAAAUCAUGGAAGCUUUAUUGAAAAAUAGAGUUGAGAUAUCAGAAGUGAGAAUGCUGACAUGAGUAACGACAAAUCAUGUGAAAAUCAUGAUAGCCGAAAGUCCUAGGUUUUCUACAGACCGUAUUUCGAUGUAGAGUGAAUCGGCCCCUAAGACAAGAGCGAUAGCUUAUUGUUAAUGGGUACAAUGUAUUUCAAUCAUUGAUGUGAUAUCAAAUGACGGCUUAUUUUUUGUUUGACAAGAAAAUGGAUAUCUUGAAAGAAGAAAAUUAAGCCCGGGAAAAAAUUUGAUUUCUGUCUUUUUUCUAAGAAAAAAGAUAACACCGUACUUAAACCGACACUGGUGGACUUGUUGAAUAAACUCAGGCUAAGAGAGAAUCAUGUUGAAGGAACUCGGCAAAUUACCUCCGUAACUUCGGAAAAAGGAGGACAUGGGUCUAAAAAAACCCAUGUGGCACAAAAGAGGGGGUGGCGACUGUUUACUAAAAACACAGGACUCUGCUAAGUGGUAACACGACGUAUAGGGUCUGACACCUGCCCGGUGCUGGAAACUUAACAGGAGGGGUGCUCAUUAAGACAACAUCUUAAUGUAAGCUCUAAAUGCAAGGCCCAGUAAACGGCGGCCGUAACUCUGACGGUCCUAAGGUAGCGAAAUUCCUUGUCGGGUAAGUUCCGACCUGCAUGAAUGGUGUCACGACUUCCCCGCUGUCUCCAACAUGAUCUCAGUGAAAUUGAAUUCUCCGUGAAGAUGCGGAGUUCCCGAAAGUAGACGGUAAGACCCUAUGCACCUUUACUAUAGUUUACCAUUGAAAAAAGAGUCUGAAUGUAGAGAAUAGGUGGGAGUUGCUCAUUUAUUCAAUAAAUGAGCAACACCAGUGAAAUACCACCCUUUCUUUCUCAUUUUUCUAACCUUAAAAACAUAACAAAAUGCAUUCUGUUCAAAUUUUUAAUUGAAUUGUUUACUUGCAUCAAGGGACAAUGGUAAAUGGGUAGUUUGACUGGGGCGGUCGCUUCCUAAAGAGUAACGGAAGUGUGCGAAGGUAAGCUCAAGCUGGACGGAAAUCAGCUGGAGAGCGUAAUGGUAAAAGCUUGCCUGACUGUGAGACUUACAAGUCGAACAGAGACGAAAGUCGGCCAUAGUGACCCGGGAGUUCUUGGUGGAAAGGCUCUCGAUCAACGGAUCAAAGGUACGCUAGGGAUAACAGGCUGAUGACUCCCAAGAGCUCUUAUCGACGGAGUCGUUUGGCACCUCGAUGUCGACUCAUCGCAUCCUCGAGCUGAAGAAGGUUCGAAGGGUUCGGCUGUUCGCCGAUGAAAGCGGUACGUGAGUUGGGUUUAGUACGUCGUGAGACAGUACGGAUCCUAUCUUUUUCGGGUGUUGAAAAAUUGAGGGUGGCAUUCUCUUGUACGAGAGGACCGAGAAUGACGAACCUCUAGUGUAUCAGUUGUCCUGCCAAGGGCAUCGCUGAGUAGCUACGUUCGGAAUGCAGAACUGCUGAAAGCAUCUCAAGCAGGAAAGCAAACCCAAAACAAGUUUUUGAGUUCGUCGAAGACUACGACGUAAUAGGUGAGAUGUGAAAAUUUCGUGAGAAAAACAGCAUACUCAUACUAA
rnacentral:rRNA from 1 species